ACGAGACCCACGGCCCGGCUGCGUAGCCUGCUCAGAGCUCAUCCAACACAUACCAAUAGGCUCUGGCUUCUUAGAGCACGCUGCUGAGAUCGCUUUUCCAAGACGGGACAGCAGGGGCCACGUACGGGAGAAAAUAAUUAAUUCUUUGGAGGAAGCGAAAUAGGCCGUAUUGGGCACCUGCUAUCAAAAGAAGAGGCCAGGCUUCGAGCCUGAGAAAAGGUAGAGGGAAGCAGGGCUGUGAGAGGUAGUUAUUUUAGGGCUGUGCUGUGUAAGCACCACCACAACGAAGCAAGGAUCGAGGAUGCAUCUCUGCACAGCACCAUGCGGAUAAGACAGUCACCUCGGGGACGUUUUAUGUCCCGCGAAGACAACGGACACUGACAUUGUUUCAGAGGCGCGGCUUCCAGGUCUCCCUGUCGGUGCCCUACCUCUAGGCAUUGAGCACACUGGAAUAGCACACCUGGCUGCCAGACACGUACCCACCCAGUCCCUUCCCCUCCCACCGCACACAGCUCUCCACUGCCUCGAACCCACAUCUGGAGGGCACCUGCAGCCUGGCACAACUUAGCUUUGAGACAAGGGGAUCGGGGAAAGCCGAGAGAUGGCUUUGCUUGGUCCUCAGUGCAGCAGUAGCUUCUGGCUGAAGGCAAUUUUCGUGCGAGCGCCGCGGCACCUUCAGGAAAGGCUUUUCUGGCGGCAGGGCUGCAGGCAGCGCCCGGAGCGAGGGGCAGCUCCAAGGGAGGGGGCACAGAGCCCGCCCGGACCCCCGCCCCGCGCCGCAUUUUACUCGAUUGUUUAUUAUUUUCCGAGGGGCGGCGGCGGGGCGGAGGCGCCGGCCA